CUACGGGAGGCACCAGUGAGGAAUAUUGCACAAUGGGGGGAACCCUGAUGCAGCAACGCCGCGUGGAGGAUGACGCAUUUCGGUGUGUAAACUCCUUUUAUAUGUCAAGAAAAUGACGGUAGCAUAUGAAUAAGCACCGGCUAACUCCGUGCCAGCAGCCGCGGUAAUACGGAGGGUGCAAGCGUUACUCGGAAUCACUGGGCGUAAAGGACGCGUAGGCGGGUUGGAAAGUCAGGUGUGAAAUCCUACAGCUUAACUGUAGAACUGCACUUGAAACUUCUAAUCUAGAGUAUGGGAGGGGGAGAUGGAAUUAGUGGUGUAGGGGUAAAAUCCGUAGAUAUCACUAGGAAUACCUAAAGCGAAGGCGAUCUCCUGGAACAUUACUGACGCUAAGGCGUGAAAGCGUGGGGAGCAAACAGGAUUAGACCCUAGUACUC
rnacentral:rRNA from 1 species